rnacentral:lncRNA from 1 species
CUGGUCUAACACACUCCCCACAUGUGGGUGCCCCACGGGCUUCCUCGGGUAUCUGAGGUCAUCGCGUGACCCUGGGUCUCCAGAGGCUAAAGAUCCAUAUGGAUGCCAUGCAUGGAGUUGUGGACCCAUAAAGAAGAAUCUCUGUGAAGAACUCGGCACUCGGCACCCCAGAAAAUUCAGCAGUUAAUUGUGUUCCCCCUGGGGCUGGGGAUGUGGCUCAAGCAGUAGCGAGCUGGCCUGGGUUCGAUCCUCAGCACCACAUACAAACAA